GUCUACAGCCAUACCACCCUGAAUGUCACCAAUCUCGUCUGAUCUCGGAAGCUAAGCAGGGUCAGAAAAAAAUUUUUUUUUAAAAGAGU
rnacentral:rRNA from 1 species